rnacentral:lncRNA from 1 species
GUUUUGCCUUUUUAGCUCACCUGGACCAGAGGGUUAAGUGAGUUUUUUUUCAUCACUUGGCAUCCGUCGUCGUCGAUAACUUUCAGAAAAUCUGAAACUAAUGGCAACAUUAAAGCAAAUAUGGCCACAAUCAUCCUUAGGGUAUGUAGUUUCAAAAAGGUAUCCGAUGACCCCGCCCAAAAAAUCAAGAUGGCCGCCAUGUCUAAAAAUAGAACAUUGUGGUAAAAUGUAGAUUUCAGCUUAUAUCUCUGAAACUAAAGCAUUUAGUUCUGGGAUAAAAAUAUUCAUCAAG